UACGUAGGGUGCGAGCGUUAAUCGGAAUUACUGGGCGUAAAGCGUGCGCAGGCGGUUAUGUAAGGCAGGUGGGAAAUCCCCGGGCUCAACCUGGGAAUUGCAUCUGUGACUGCAUAGCUAGAGUACGGUAGAGGGGGAUGGAAUUCCGCGUGUAGCAGUGAAAUGCGUAGAUAUGCGGAGGAACACCGAUGGCGAAGGCAAUCCCCUGGACCUGUACUGACGCUCAUGCACGAAAGCGUGGGGAGCAAACAGG
rnacentral:rRNA from 1 species